UCAUACAUUUUCCUCAACACACCAGAUCCCAUUAGAACUUUGCAGUUAAGCGUGCUCAAACUAGAGCAGUACUGGAAUGGGUGAUCACCUGGGAAGUCAUAGUGUUUUAC
rnacentral:rRNA from 1 species